CGUUGGUAAACAUGCUUUCCAAACAGAAACUUUGAGAGUCUCAGUGCAACAUAGAUAUUGAAUGAGGAUUGUAUAUUUAAUCCAUAACCACAAAGUUAAACUGUCCCUUCUGUUCUUGGGAAUUUCAUGUUUGAAAAAUGCACUGAACUUCAGUUCCUGCCAAACACAGAGAUAGUCAGUCCAGUUCGAAGCCACAGCCCAGGUAUUAAAUACUGAGUAAGGAAAAAUAAUCUAUCAGAAAACAAGAAAUUAUGAUGCCUGUUGAAAAUUUUUAAUUUAAAAAUGAAGAAGAAAGCUACCUUUCCAUCACUUAGAUUUCCAAGGCUGGACCAGCAGGUUAAAUUUAGUAAUAACUUCUUUGUAAUAGCUUUUGUUUAAGAGGAAAGAGAAAUAUAGUCAAACAAGUGUCAUUCUUAAGAGAUAAUUUCAGUCCCAGCAUGAGUUGAGCUACUUACUGUACUAAAUAACGAGCAUCACAAAGAAAGAAAUGAAAAUAAAAAAUUACAAUCUUAUUUUCAUUUUAAAUAAAAUAACUUAUUAUCUGGUUAGUA